rnacentral:rRNA from 1 species
AUUGAACGCUGGCGGCAGGCCUAACACAUGCAAGUCGAGCGGAUGAAGAGAGCUUGCUCUCUGAUUUAGCGGCGGACGGGUGAGUAAUGCCUAGGAAUCUGCCUGGUAGUGGGGGAUAACGUCCGGAAACGGGCGCUAAUACCGCAUACGUCCUACGGGAGAAAGCAGGGGAACUUCGGGCCUUGCGCUAUCAGAUGAGCCUAAGUCGGAUUAGCUAGUUGGUGAGGUAAUGGCUCACCAAGGCUACGAUCCGUAACUGGUCUGAGAGGAUGAUCAGUCACACUGGAACUGAGACACGGUCCAGACUCCUACGGGAGGCAGCAGUGGGGAAUAUUGGACAAUGGGCGAAAGCCUGAUCCAGCCAUGCCGCGUGUGUGAAGAAGGUCUUCGGAUUGUAAAGCACUUUAAGUUGGGAGGAAGGGCAGUAAGUUAAUACCUUGCUGUUUUGACGUUACCGACAGAAUAAGCACCGGCUAACUUCGUGCCAGCCGCCGCAGUAACAC